rnacentral:rRNA from 1 species
GUGAAACCGCAAAAGGCUCAGUAAACCAGUCAUGAUUCACUCGAGUAUACAUGACUGUCUUUGGAUAACUGUGGUAAUCCUAGAGCUAAUACAUGCAACCAAGUCCCGACCAGUCUGACUGGGUAAGGACGCUUUUAUUAGAUCAAGACCAAUCGCCCGGUUCGUCCGGGCGUUGCCUUGGUGACUCUAGGUAACACAUCAGAUCGCAUGGUCUCAGCACCGGCGACUUAUCCUUCAAAUGCCUGACUUAUCAACUGUCGAUGGUAGACUCUAUGUCUACCAUGGUUGUAACGGGUAACGGGGAAUCAGGGUUCGAUUCCGGAGAGGGAGCCUGAGAAACGGCUACCACAUCCAAGGAAGGCAGCAGGCACGCAAAUUACCCACUCCCGGCACGGGGAGGUAGUGACAAAAAAUAACGAUACGGGACUCUUAUGAGGCCCCGUAAUCGGAAUGAGUACACUUUAAAUCCUUUAACAAGGAUCCAUUGAAGGGCAAGUCUGGUGCCAGCAGCCGCGGUAAUUCCAGCUUCAAUAGCGUAUAUUAAAGUUGUUGCGGUUAAAAAGCUCGUAGUUGGUUCUGCGUGCUACGCUGUCGGUUCGCCGCCUGCCGGUGUAACUGGCAUGCCGUGGCAUGUCCUGCCGGUGGCGUGCGGGAGCCUCGUCAGGUGACGGCCCGGGUUCGCUCGGUGCCGUAGGCCGGAGGACCAACCCGUGCGCCUACUCUAUCCUACCUAGGUGCUCUUCACCGAGUGUCGAGGUAGGCCGGUACGUUUACUUUGAACAAAUUAGAGUGCUCAAAGCAGGCUGAAAUCUCUGCCUGAAUAGUGGUGCAUGGAAUAAUAAAACAGGACCUUGGUUCUAUUUUGUUGGUUCUUAGGAACACAAGGUAAUGAUCAAUACGGACAGGCGGGGGCAUUCGUAUUGCGACGUUAGAGGUGAAAUUCUUGGAUCGUCGCAAGACGCACAAGAGCGAAAGCAUUUGCCAAGUAUGUCUUGAUUGAUCAAGACCAUAAACGAUGCCAGCCAGCGAUCCGCCGAUGUUCCUCCGAUGACUCGGCGGGGAGCUUCUUCCCGGGAAACCAAAGCUUUUGGGUUCCGGGGGAAGUAUGGUUGCAAAGCUGAAACUUAAAGGAAUUGACGGAAGGGCACCACCAGGAGUGGAGCCUGCGGCUUAAUUUGACUCAACACGGGAAACCUCACCAGGCCAGGACAUUGGAAGGAUUGACAGAUUGAUAGCUCUUUCUUGAUUCAGUGGGUAGUGGUGCAUGGCCGUUCUUAGUUGGUGGAUCGAUUUGUCUGGUUAAUUCCGAUAACGAACGAGACUCUAGCCUAUUAACUAGGCGUUUUCCGGUGUCCCCGCCACCGGCGACAAUCAUUCUUCUUAAGGGGACAGGCGGCUUAUAGCCGCACGAGAUUGAGCAAUAACAGGUCUGUGAUGCCCUUAGAUGUCCUGGGCCGCACGCGCGCUACACUGAAGGAAUCAGCGUGUGCCUCCCAGGCCGAAAGGCCCGGGUAAUCCGCUGAACCUCCUGCGUGCUAGGAAUUGGGGCUUGCAAUUGUUCCCCAUGAACGAGGAAUUCCCAGUAAGCGCGAGUCAUAAGCUCGCGUUGAUUACGUCCCUGCCCUUUGUACACACCGCCCGUCGCUACUACCGAUUGAAUGAUUUAGUGAGGUCUUCGGACUGGCGGUAAUCCCUAUCGACUUGUCGGUAUCGAUGAACGCUGGAAAGAUGACCAAACUUGAUCAUUUAGAGGAAGUAAAAGUCGUAACAAGGUUUCCGUAGGUGAA